rnacentral:rRNA from 1 species
UACGAGGGGGGCAAGCGUUGUUCGGAAUUAUUGGGCGUAAAGAGCUCGUAGGCGGUCAGUCGCGUCUGCUGUGAAAACUCGGGGCUUAACUCCGGGCCUGCAGUGGGUACGGGCUGACUAGAGUGCGGUAGGGGAGACUGGAAUUCCUGGUGUAGCGGUGAAAUGCGCAGAUAUCAGGAGGAACACCGGUGGCGAAGGCGGGUCUCUGGGACGGUACUGACGCCUGAGACGCGAAAGCGUGGGGAGCGAACAGG